UACGAAGGGGGCUAGCGUUGUUCGGAAUCACUGGGCGUAAAGCGCACGUAGGCGGAUUUUUAAGUCAGGGGUGAAAUCCCGGGGCUCAACCCCGGAACUGCCCUUGAAACUGGAGAGCUAGAAUCUUGGAGAGGCGAGUGGAAUUCCGAGUGUAGAGGUGAAAUUCGUAGAUAUUCGGAAGAACACCAGUGGCGAAGGCGACUCGCUGGACAAGUAUUGACGCUGAGGUGCGAAAGCGUGGGGAGCAAACAGG
rnacentral:rRNA from 1 species